GGUUCCUGUGGUAACAGCCAAUAUACCAAUUGACCCGAGUUGUCAAUACACUGAAGGAUCAUUUCCACACUUUAAAGGAUUGGCAGAUUCUGUGACUGUAAUGAAUGGUAUAAAUGCUCCAAAAGUUGUUGAAUGUUUCGGCUCCGACG